AAAUCAAUUACGAAGAAGACGGAGAAAGCGGACGGUUAAGCUGGGUUUAAUUUUUUCCCGCCGAAUUUCUGAAGUAAUAUAAACAUAGUUAUUAUCGACUAGGAGCCAAAAUAAGCAUGCCACAGAAAUCUUCAAAAAGAAGAAGAAUUCCCACAAACAAAAUGCAGGAGAUGUUCCAGAGUCUCCAUCUCCAACACAUCAUCACUCAGGACAUUUUGCCUUGUGCACUUUGAGGAUGGCUACAGAGCGAAAAUCUUUACACCAUGGGAUAUUUUGAAUGAAAAUGAUGCUCCCAUUCACCAUUUUGACGUUCUUAGACCAGGAGAAGUUGUUAUGGCACGAUGGUCAGAUGUCCCAUUGUUUUGUUUUCUGCCCAGCUACUCAUUUUAGUUCACUUAAGUAACUAAAUAU